rnacentral:rRNA from 1 species
GGAGCUUGAGAAUUGGCUACUACAUCUAAGGAAGGCAGCUGGCGCGCAAAUUACCCAAUCCCGAUUCGGGGAGGUAGUGACAAAAAAUAACAAUACCGGGCCUUUUUGGGCUUGGUAAUUGGAAUGAGGGAGAGUUAAACGGACCAUCGAGUAUCCAUUGGAGGGCAAGUCUGGUGCCAGCAGCUGCGGUAAUACCAGCUCCAAUAGCGUAUAUUAAAGUUGUUGCAGUUAAAAAGCUCGUAGUUGGACUUGUGUGCGCUGUCCGCGGGUGGCCUGCGCCCAAAAGGGCGUUUCGGUUCGGCCCCGGUGGCGCCUUGAAAUCUGCAGCUGGGGGGACGUUGGCCUUAACUGGUCGGCGACCGCACGCCGGCUGCUCGGUUACUGUGAGAAAAUUAGAGUGUUCAAGGUAGGCAUUGGGUGCAAUUGAAUACAUUAGCAUGGAAUAAUAAAAUAUGGCUCCUGCCGUAUUUUGUUGGUUUUGACUGGUGGGAGUAAUGAUUGAUAGGGACGGUUGGGGGUGCUAGUAUUGAGCGGCCAGAGGUGAAAUUCAUGGUUUCGCUCAAGACUAACUUAUGCGAAAGCAUUCACCAAGGACGUCCUCUUUAAUCAAGAACGAAAGUUGGGGGAUCGAAGACGAUCAGAUACCGUCGUAGUCUCAACCAUAAACUAUGUCGACUUGGGAUCGGCGGUAGUUUUUUCAUUAAGACACUGUCGGGACCACGGGAGAAAUCAAAGUGUCUGGACUCUGGGGGAAGUAUGGUCGCAAGGCUGAAACUUGAAGGAAUUGACGGAAGGGCACCACCAGGAGUGGAGCCUGCGGCUUAAUUUGACCCAACACGGGGAAACUUACCAGGUCCAGAGAUGUAGAGGAUUGACAGAUUGAAGCUCUUUCUUGAUCACUUCGGUGGUGGUGCAUGGCCGUUCUUAGUUGGUGGAGUGAUUUGUCUGGUUAAUUCCGUUAACGAACGAGACCUCAGCCUGCUAGUGUAGUCGGCUGGAUUGCCUUUGGCGAUCCGUGAUUUCGACUUCUUAGAGGGACAAUCGACGCGCAGUCGAUGGAAGUUUGAGGCAAUAACAGGUCUGUGAUGCCCUUAGAUGUUCUGGGCCGCACGCGCGCUACACUGCUGGGCUCAGCGAGUUUUACUUGGCCGAGAGGCCCGGUUAAUCUUGUGAAAUCCCAGCGUGCUUGGGCUCGCCUCCUGCAACUGGAGGCGCCAACGAGGAAUUCCUAGUAGACGCAGGUCAUCAACCUGCAUCGAUUACGUCCCUGCCCUUUGUACACACCGCCCGUCGUUCCAUAAGAGUGAGGCAUCCGGUGAAUUCUCGGGAGAGCCUGGGCGUGGCCAGCAAUGGUCUGCUCGGGUUUGAACUUGCAUAAACUUGGUGCCUAUGAUUAGGGAAAAGUCGUAACAAGGUU